rnacentral:rRNA from 1 species
GGUAGUGGCAGUGGUUGAUUUGUGAUGGUGUGGAUAUGGUGAAUUGACCCGUCUUGAAACACGGACCAAGGAGUCUCAUUUAUUUGUGAAGAUAAGGAAGUUGUGACAUUGGGAGUAUCUGGAAUGAAGAUGAAAUGGUUAGAAUAUGAAAGUGCUGAGAUAGUUGUUGCAGCACAUGCAAUAUUGAUUUACCCUGUGGAUUGUCAUGGGGACUAAAUUGGAAUGAAUAGAUGAGGACCCGAAAGAUGGUGAACUAUACUUGGAGAGAAAGAAGUCAGGGGAAACUCUGAUGGAAGUUCGUAGCAGUGCUAACGUGCAAAUUGCUUGUGGGAACUGAGUAUAGGGGCGAAAGACUCAUCGAACCAUCUAGUAGCUGGUUCCCUCCGAAUUUUCCCUCAGGAUUGCAGUGAUUUGGAAAUAGUUAUAUCAAGUAAAGAUAAUGAUUAGAAGGUUGUGGUGUUUAGUCGUUGUGUGUUGUUUUCGGACAGGAUGCAAAGGACAGCCACAGACAAGGGGACAAGAAUGGUCCUUUUCUUAUUCUCAAACUUUGAAGUGGUAUAGACAAUGCUGGACUCAUGGGCUUAAGGAAACAAUGGUGGAUGGGUUCAGUGGGAAAUAGAGCAAAUGAUUAGUGGGCCUAAUCUGGUAAGCAGAAGAGGCGAUGUGGGAUGAACCAAAGGAGAAGUUAAGGGGUCAAAGGUGGGGCACACAAGGACGCCAGAAAGGGAGUUGAUUGAUGGAGACAGCAGGACGGUGGCCACGGAAGUUGGAAGACCCGCCAAGAAGUGUGUAACAACUUACCUGCCGAAUUGAUGAGUCCCGAAAAUGGAUGACGCUUGAGUGCCUGUGAUGAUUUGUGCCCAAUACUUUUCUAUCAUGACGAGGAAAAGGUGAUGGAUAGUUGUGAUAAGUAGGAGGAAGCGCAUGGGGAGUGUAGAAGCUAGUGUGGUGACACAGUGUGGAACAACCUGUGGUGCAGAUCUUGGUGGUAGUAGCAAUUACUCGAGUGGGACGCUUGAGGACCAAAGUGGAGAAGGGUUUCAUGGGAAUGGCAGACAGCCAUGAGUUAGUCGGUGCUGAAGAGUAGGGGCAACCCGUGGGAAUUGUGGCAGCCUGUGUGGUGACGCAAGACUCUGAAAGGGAAAUGUGUUAAGAAUGACAUACCUUGGGUUCGUAUUUGGGUGUUGUGAUGUUUGAUGGUGACACUUGGCAUCAGUGAUGGUGUGUAUUGAGGUGUUGGUGUUGGAUGUGACAGUGCCUGGUGAUGGAUGGCAACAUGAGGGAAUUCCGCGACAGCAGUCACCAUUUCCGUAAAAGUUAUCUUUUGUUAAUAAUCCACGAGUGUUUGUUGUUGUUUGUUGUUUGUGCUUGAUAGUGUGGAUGACAAGUGGCAGCAGAGUAACGGGAGUGCCAAGAAAGUGAAUGGAUUGGAGCAGUGGCAGGACGUGGAGAAUAGCGUGGUAGGACACUUGUGGUGACACAGGUGGUGUUAGACGGUGGAAGAAUGGUUGUGAUUGGGACGUGAAAAGCGGGAGGAGCAGAGCUGGUGGCUGGUGUGCCUGGUUUGAGGUGUGCCGUGUGACACUGGUGGUGGAUAAAGAAGCAAGACCGUACCGAAGACCGCAACAGGUCUCCGAGGUUAGAAGCCUUUGGUGGAAUAGAAGAAAGUAGGUAAGGGAAGUCGGCAAAUUAGUACCGUAAGUUUGCAAGAAGGUAUGGCUCCAAAUUUGUGAGUGUGUUUGUUUGUGAUGGGUGUUGUUGCUUGUGAAAGAGCAGUGAUGGCUGUUGCAUAAAAAGAGCAGACACAGGAAAAGUUUGGAACUGAUAGAAAGAAAGGGAAUUGGACUGUAUAAUAAAAACAAAGCAUUGUGAUGGUGUAGACAAGCGUGUAGACACAAUGUGAAUUCUGCCCAGUGCUGAGAAUGUCAAAGUGAAGAGAUUUAAGGAAGCACGGGUUAACGGCGGGAGUAACUAUGACUCUCUUAAGGUAGCCAAAUGCCUCGUCAUCUAAUUAGUGACGCGCAUGAAUGGAUGAACCAAAUUCCCACUGUCCCUAUGUACUAUCUAGCGAAACCACAGCCAAGGGAACGGGCUUGGCAACAUCAGCGGGGAAAGAAGACCCUGUUGAGCUUGACUCUAGUCUGACUUUGUCAUAUGACUCUCCAAGUGUAGAAUAAGUGGGAGUUGUUUGUGUCUUUGUUCCUUGUGGGCAUAUGGUGGAAGCAGCGCUGGUGAAAUACCACUAUUGGAGAAGUUGUUUUACUUAGUUAUUUAGCUAUAGAGUGGGAUAGGAUUUGUUAGUUUUCGUGGGCUAGUUCUUGCGGAAGUUGAUGGUCCUGGAUGUCCCAUGAGUUGAUGGAAUUGAUGUGUGUUGUGUGGUGCAGUGAUGUGACACAUGACAGCAUGUUGGUAUAGAAUAGCGAAGGAAGUUAGAUAGGGAGUUUGGCUGGGGCGGCACAUCUGUUACAUAAGAACGCAGGUGUCCAAAGAGUAGCUCAGGGAGAACAGAAAUCUUUCGUGGAAUAUAAGGGUAUAAGCUACUUUGAAUUUACGGUUUUCAGUAAGAAUCGGAACGGUGAAAGCGUGGCCUAGCGAUCCCUAAUGAGGCACUGAGUGGUUGUACUAGUGCACAGUGCUGAGUAGGUCUUUAGAAUAUAAAGCUUGGGGUGUCAGAAAAGUUACCACAGGGAUAACUGGCUUGUGGCAGCCAAGCGUUCAUAGCGACG